ACUCCUACGGGAGGCAUCGGUGGGGAAUAUUGCACAAUGGGCGCAAGCCUGAUGCAGCGACGCCGCGUGAGGGAUGACGGCCUUCGGGUUGUAAACCUCUUUCACCAGGGACGAAGCGCAAGUGACGGUACCUGGAGAAGAAGCACCGGCCAACUACGUGCCAGCAGCCGCGGUAAUAC
rnacentral:rRNA from 1 species